rnacentral:rRNA from 1 species
UACGAAGGGGGCUAGCGUUGUUCGGAUAUACUGGGCGUAAAGCGCACGUAGGCGGCGCCGUAAGUCAGGGGUGAAAUCCCGGAGCUCAACUUCGGAACUGCCUCUGAUACAGCACGUCUCGAGUCCGAUAGAGGUGGGCGGAACUGAUGGUGGAGCGGUGAAAUGCGUUGAUAUCAUCAGGAACACCGGGAGGCGAAAGGCGGCCCCCUGGGUCGGCCCUGGACGCUGAGGCGCGAAAGCGUGGGGAGCGAACGGG